AUGCUAACGAGCCGGUGCGUAUUCAUCACAGCGGUGCUGCAACUACUAAUCUCGUUCCCGGCGGUCGCCGGGGAACCACAAAUCGGGCUGCCCGGCUGCCAGACCAGCUGCGGCAACGUGAGCGUGUUCUACCCGUUCGGCAUGGGACCGAAGAGGUGCUACUGGCCGGGUUUGAAGCUCACCUGCGACGACCGCGGAAGCAAACCCCCGCGGCUGCUCUUUGGUGAUGGUGGCGCUGGUGCAUUCGAGGUGGUCGAGAUUUCCCUAGACAAGCUCACGAUGCGCGUAGUCAGCCACAAACUACAAGCCAUCAACAUCAACAUGAGCAGCGGCGGCUCUGGCCGGUUGAGCCUCGGUUACACCGAGGCCAUCGGCGGGGCGCCGUACUUCCUGCAGCAGGGGGCCAACGAGAUGAUCCUCACCGGGUGCAACGUGCAGGCGACACUGCGGUGUAACGGAAAUAUCGUCAAUCGGUGCGCCUCCUUCUGCCCCAUAUUUACUGACGACAAUGGUAGUCCGCUCCCCGCCCAGUAUUUCGCCGCAGACUACAACUCCAACAGCUGCUCCAACUUGGGCUGCUGCCAGUCGUCCAUCUUGUCCAGCAGCACGUCCUAUGAUGUCGAGGUCAAUCGGCUCGGCGAUUGCCUGCGGUACGGCCCUGUGCCCGACCCGUUUCCCGACGAUGUUCCAAUGAAUGUGCUCAUCGCUGAGGAGGGUUGGUUCUACCCGGAGAAUGUCAUAAAUGUUACCUCGUGGCCCACCGUGAUUUUCCGGUGGGCGGUGCCGCAUGGUGCCGCGAUCCCGGUGGGGCCGUGCCCCGAUGAGGCAGCCCGGAGCAUCUGCAAGAGCACCCAUAGCUAUUGCACACAAGAGUGGUCAAAUAUACAGUCGGGGACUAUUCUUGCCAGUGCAACUCCGGCUACACCGGCAACCCUUACCUCACCUAUGGAUGCCAAGAUAUCCAUGUGUGUGAUCAGAAAGAAAAACAUGGCUGCUUCGGCCAUUGUGAGCGACUGCCCGGAUAUGUUAGCUGCCGGUGCCCAGAAGGAACCAAUGGCAACUACUCCAUACCCGGGGGCUGUGUCGCAGACACAAACACAGGUAACUUGGCCUUAAUCAUUGGUUUGUCGGCUGCAAGUGGCCCAUUCAUUCUACUUUUGGUUCUUUGCAUACUCGUAUUGUCAAGUGAUUUUAAGGAACAAAAGCUGAGGAUGUUGAGACGGAAGUUCUUAACUCAAAUCCGUGGACAACUGCUGAAGCAGUUGGUAUCUCAUAGGGCAGACAUCGCAGAGAGGAUGCUCAUUUCGUUAGAAGAGCUACAGAAGGCUACCAACAAUUUUGAUCAAGCUCGAAGGCUUGGUGGUGGAGGGCAUGGCACUGUCUACAAAGGGAUCUUGUCAGACUUGCAUGUUGUGGCUAUAAAGAAGUCAAAUAUUGUUGUCAAAAGAGAAACUGUCGAGUUCAUCAAUGAAGUUGCGAUACUCUCACAGAUCAACCAUAGGAAUAUUGUAAAGCUUCGUGGGUGUUGCCUCGAGAUAGAAGUCCCUUUAUUGGCAUACGAGUUCAUUUCCAAUGGAACACUUAGUGAUCAUCUUCACACGGAAGAACCAAGAUCGUUAACUUGGAAAGAUAGGUUAAGGAUCACAACCGAAACAUGCAAAGCUCUUGCAUACCUUCACUCUGUUGUUUCAGUGCCCGUAAUACAUAGAGAUAUCAAGCCUUCCAACAUACUUCUUGAUGAUGCCUUGACAGCAAGAGUGUCAGACUUUGGAGCUUCAAGGUACAUUGCCAUGAAUCAAACAGGAACAACAACUGCAGUGCAAGGAACUAUAGGUUACUUGGAUCCUACAUAUUAUUAUAGCAGACGCCUCACAGAAAGUAGUGAUGUUUAUAGCUUUGGAGUUCUUCUUAUUGAAUUGCUUACUAGGAGGAAGCCAUCUUUGUAUAGAUCCAAUGAAGGCGUUGGGCUUGUCAUAGAUCCAAUGAACCGGGACUAAAGGCCCUCUAGAACUGGGACUAAUGGGCCUUUUUCUACUA
rnacentral:rRNA from 1 species